rnacentral:lncRNA from 1 species
GAUUUUACAACUUUAAAUACUUGAUAAUAUAAAUUAGUAAAAUGAUUUAGUUGUGUUCCCUUGAUGCAUGUAUUACUUGUAUUGCGUGAUUUACGGUUAAUUUGUGAAAAUUAAAAAUUGAAAUGGAAACGAAAAAUUGCUUGGUUAAGUGAAUUAAUUGAUGGUUGUUUUACUAGAUAUCUUGGGAGAUGGUAGACGGACCGGGUACAUCGAGAACCCUACCAUAAACGUUAUCUCAUACCAAACGGGGUAUCGAAAAAUGAUAUUUUUGGCGCUCAUACCGGAUGGGGUAUUGAGGGAUGAUACUUUUGGCGCUCAUACCGGAUGGAGUAUGGGAACGGU